rnacentral:rRNA from 1 species
CCUACGGGUGACAGCAGUGAGGAAUAUUGGUCAAUGGACGAGAGUCUGAACCAGCCAAGUAGCGUGAAGGAUGACUGCCCUAUGGGUUGUAAACUUCUUUUAUAUGGGAAUAAAAUGUUCCACGUGUGGGAUUUUGUAUGUACCAUAUGAAUAAGGAUCGGCUAACUCCGUGCCAGCAGCCGCGGUAAUACGGAGGAUCCGAGCGUUAUCCGGAUUUAUUGGGUUUAAAGGGAGCGUGGGUGGAUUGUUAAGUCAGUUGUGAAAGUUUGCGGCUCAACCGUAAAAUUGCAGUUGAAACUGGCAGUCUUGAGUACAGUAGAGGUGGGCGGAAUUCGUGGUGUAGCGGUGAAAUGCUUAGAUAUCACGAAGAACUCCGAUUGCGAAGGCAGUUCACUGGACUGCAACUGACACUGAGGCUCGAAAGUGUGGGUAUCAAACAGGAUUAGAUACCCUGGUAGUC